rnacentral:rRNA from 1 species
CCCUUAGAUGCUCUGGGCGGCCCGCGCACUACAAUGGCGCUUUCAGCGAGUUCCUAUGUUGAAUUUUCCUUGGUAUUCUUGGAAGCGGCGUCUUGACUUGGGAUAGAUCCUUGUAAUUGUUGGUUUUGAACGAGGAAUUCCUUGUAAUCGCGGUUGAUCAGCUCGCGUUGAAUACGUCCCUGCCCUUUGUACACACCGCCCGUCGCUCCUACCGAUGAAUCGUCCGGUGAAGUUCACAGAGUGGCGGUUCGUGGAGUUGCUCGCGAAGUGAAAUGGACCUCACGAUUUAGAGGAAGGAGAAGUCGUAACA